rnacentral:rRNA from 1 species
UACGGAGGGUGCAAGCGUUAAUCGGAAUUACUGGGCGUAAAGCGCACGUAGGCGGUUUGGUAAGCUGGAUGUGAAAGCCCUGGGCUCAACCUGGGAACUGCAUCCAGAACUGCCAGGCUAGAGUAUGGUAGAGGGUGGUGGAAUUUCCUGUGUAGCGGUGAGAUGCGUAGAUAUAGGAAGGAACACCAGUGGCGAAGGCGACCACCUGGACUGAUACUGACACUGAGGUGCGAAAGCGUGGGGAGCAAACAGGAUUAGAAACCCCGGU